UGUGGGUCGAAGCGGAGAAUUUAAGCCCCAGUAAACGGCGGUGGUAACUAUAACCAUCCUAAGGUAGCGAAAUUCCUUGUCGGGUAAGUUCCGACCUGCACGAAUGGCGUAACGACUUCCCUGCUGUCUCAACCACAGGCCCGGUGAAAUUGCAGUACGAGUAAAGAUGCUCGUUUCGCGCGGCAGGACGAAAAGACCCCGGGACCUUCACUAUAGCUUGGUAUUGUUGUUUGGUUCGGUUUGUGUAGGAUAGGUGGGAGACUGUGAAGUAUCCACGCUAGUGGGUGUGGAGUCGUUGUUGAAAUACCACUCUGAUCGGAUUGAGCAUCUAACCUUGGCCCAUGAUCUGGGUUGGGGACAGUGCCUGGUGGGUAGUUUAACUGGGGCGGUUGCCUCCUAAAAUGUAACGGAGGCGCCCAAAGGUUUCCUCAGCCUGGUUGGCAAUCAGGUGGUGAGUGUAAGUGCACAAGGGAGCUUGACUGUGAGAGUGACAACUCGAGCAGGGACGAAAGUCGGGACUAGUGAUCCGGCACCUACUUGUGGAUGUGGUGUCGCUCAACGGAUAAAAGGUACCCCGGGGAUAACAGGCUGAUCUUCCCCAAGAGUCCAUAUCGACGGGAUGGUUUGGCACCUCGAUGUCGGCUCGUCGCAUCCUGGGGCUGGAGUAGGUCCCAAGGGUUGGGCUGUUCGCCCAUUAAAGCGGCACGCGAGCUGGGUUUAGAACGUCGUGAGACAGUUCGGUCUCUAUCCGCCGUGCGCGUUGAAACUUGAAGAAGGCUGUCCCUAGUACGAGAGGACCGGGACGGACGUACCUCUGGUGUGCCAGUUGUUCCGCCAGGAGCAGGGCUGGUUGGCUACGUACGGGAGGGAUAACCGCUGAAAGCAUCUAAGCGGGAAGCCUGUUUUAAGAUGAGGUUUCUUUUGAGGUUCCCUAGAGAUUAUGGGGUUGAUAGGCCGGAUCUGGAAGCACAGUAAUGUGUGGAGGUGACCGGUACUAAUUUACCAACA
rnacentral:rRNA from 1 species